ACACGGUGGAUGCCCUGGCAGUCAGAGGCGAUGAAGGACGUGCUAAUCUGCGAUAAGCGUCGGUGAGGUGAUAUGAACCGUUAUAACCGGCGAUUUCCGAAUGGGGAAACCCAGUGUGUUUCGACACACUAUCAUUAACUGAAUCCAUAGGUUAAUGAGGCGAACCGGGGGAACUGAAACAUCUAAGUACCCCGAGGAAAAGAAAUCAACCGAGAUUCCCCCAGUAGCGGCGAGCGAACGGGGAGGAGCCCAGAGCCUGAAUCAGUGUGUGUGUUAGUGGAAGCGUCUGGAAAGGCGUGCGAUACAGGGUGACAGCCCCGUACACAAAAAUGCACAUAUUGUGAGCUCGAUGAGUAGGGCGGGACACGUGGUAUCCUGUCUGAAUAUGGGGGGACCAUCCUCCAAGGCUAAAUACUCCUGACUGACCGAUAGUGAACCAGUACCGUGAGGGAAAGGCGAAAAGAACCCCGGCGAGGGGAGUGAAAAAGAACCUGAAACCGUGUACGUACAAGCAGUGGGAGCCUCUUAAUGGGGUGACUGCGUACCUUUUGUAUAAUGGGUCAGCGACUUAUAUUCUGUAGCAAGGUUAACCGAAUAGGGGAGCCGAAGGGAAACCGAGUCUUAACUGGGCGUUAAGUUGCAGGGUAUAGACCCGAAACCCGGUGAUCUAGCCAUGGGCAGGUUGAAGGUUGGGUAACACUAACUGGAGGACCGAACCGACUAAUGUUGAAAAAUUAGCGGAUGACUUGUGGCUGGGGGUGAAAGGCCAAUCAAACCGGGAGAUAGCUGGUUCUCCCCGAAAGCUAUUUAGGUAGCGCCUCGUGAAUUCAUCUCCGGGGGUAGAGCACUGUUUCGGCAAGGGGGUCAUCCCGACUUACCAACCCGAUGCAAACUGCGAAUACCGGAGAAUGUUAUCACGGGAGACACACGGCGGGUGCUAACGUCCGUCGUGAAGAGGGAAACAACCCAGACCGCCAGCUAAGGUCCCAAAGUCAUGGUUAAGUGGGAAACGAUGUGGGAAGGCCCAGACAGCCAGGAUGUUGGCUUAGAAGCAGCCAUCAUUUAAAGAAAGCGUAAUAGCUCACUGGUCGAGUCGGCCUGCGCGGAAGAUGUAACGGGGCUAAACCAUGCACCGAAGCUGCGGCAGCGACACUAUGUGUUGUUGGGUAGGGGAGCGUUCUGUAAGCCUGUGAAGGUGGCCUGUGAGGGUUGCUGGAGGUAUCAGAAGUGCGAAUGCUGACAUAAGUAACGAUAAAGCGGGUGAAAAGCCCGCUCGCCGGAAGACCAAGGGUUCCUGUCCAACGUUAAUCGGGGCAGGGUGAGUCGACCCCUAAGGCGAGGCCGAAAGGCGUAGUCGAUGGGAAACAGGUUAAUAUUCCUGUACUUGGUGUUACUGCGAAGGGGGGACGGAGAAGGCUAUGUUGGCCGGGCGACGGUUGUCCCGGUUUAAGCGUGUAGGCUGGUUUUCCAGGCAAAUCCGGAAAACCAAGGCUGAGGCGUGAUGACGAGGCACUACGGUGCUGAAGCGACAAAUGCCCUGCUUCCAGGAAAAGCCUCUAAGCAUCAGGUAACAUCAAAUCGUACCCCAAACCGACACAGGUGGUCAGGUAGAGAAUACCAAGGCGCUUGAGAGAACUCGGGUGAAGGAACUAGGCAAAAUGGUGCCGUAACUUCGGGAGAAGGCACGCUGAUAUGUAGGUGAAGCGACUUGCUCGUGGAGCUGAAAUCAGUCGAAGAUACCAGCUGGCUGCAACUGUUUAUUAAAAACACAGCACUGUGCAAACACGAAAGUGGACGUAUACGGUGUGACGCCUGCCCGGUGCCGGAAG
rnacentral:rRNA from 1 species